UGCAUGGUGCUCCCGGGUUUUUCUCAUCUCAGCAAGAGGAGUGGAGGCAUCUGCUACUCAACCCGAGAAAUCCACGGACAAAAGAGAGGGAAAACUCAGAAUUGAGAGGAAGGGAUGCCAGCAUACUUACCUGCUGGAAGUCCGGAGUCGAGUGGCUGGAUGAAGGAGAGAAGCAACGUCGGCUAACCACUCACCUUUCAUGCGGAGAGCUGCUGCAAUUCCGACACCAGUGUGUGUUGGGCUUUUGUGAAACAGAGCAACGAUCAGGUUUUUUGGAGAGGACAGAAAAGUCCGAGGACCAGGACAAAAUUCCGGUCGUGAUAGAUGGCGAGCCAACCACUUUGAGGACUAUCCACCCCAAAGAAGAUACACACCCACACACUCAUACAUUCCAAUUACACUCACAAGGACCUUUGAAGUUGGCUGUUGCCAACUUAACUCUAAAUUCUUAAAGGGCCCCAACGAGUACUUUUAUUUUGUUUAAGUGUGCACACUAUUUAUUUUAUUUUAUACUUCUUUCUGUACAAAUUGGACAAUACCUGUUAUAUCUUGUAACAAUACAAGAGUGGCUACUCAAAAGUUAACAUUGUGUCCAGGUCAUUAUUGCUGCUCAAUACUUUGGCUCCAUACGAAUUUGGUGUCUUCUGAUACUGGCCAGGGCCUCAUUACGAGCCCAAGUAAUUAUUGUGCUGUAAUUCACCUUUAUACCUUAAAGUUGG